rnacentral:rRNA from 1 species
GACGAACGCUGGCGGCGUGCUUAACACAUGCCAGUCGAACGGAAAGGCCCUGCUUUUGUGGGGUGCUCGAGUGGCGAACGGGUGAGUAACACGUGAGUAACCUGCCCUUGACUUUGGGAUAACUUCAGGAAACUGGGGCUAAUACCGGAUAGGAGCUCCUGCUGCAUGGUGGGGGUUGGAAAGUUUCGGCGGUUGGGGAUGGACUCGCGGCUUAUCAGCUUGUUGGUGGGGUAGUGGCUUACCAAGGCUUUGACGGGUAGCCGGCCUGAGAGGGUGACCGGCCACAUUGGGACUGAGAUACGGCACAGACGCCUACGGGAGGCAGCAGUGGGGAAUAUUGCACAAUGGGCGGAAGCCUGAUGCAGCAACGCCGCGUGCGGGAUGACGGCCUUCGGGUUGUAAACCGCUUUCGCCUGUGACGAAGCGUGAGUGACGGUAAUGGGUAAAGAAGCACCGGCUAACUACGUG